rnacentral:tRNA from 2 species
GCUCUUAUGGUGUAAUGGUCAGCACUCCGGACUCCGGACUCUGAAUCCAGCGAGCGAUCCGGGUUCAAAUCCCGGUAGGAGCU